CUCAAAACCAUAGCUCAAAAAUAGCUAAUUCAAAAAAGGUUGUCUUUUCCAAACCAUAAACCUUAAACUCUAAGCGUGCAAAGCAUAAGGGAGCAUCAUUUAAUCACUUUAGAAAACGUGGUAAAUAAUCCAUUCACAAAAAGCUACAAUAUUCAACCUUACUUAAAACUUGUGCUCCCAUUUAGCUUUGCGCGCUUAGAACACAAGUUUUAAGGUUUAGACUUUAAGGUUUGCUAAGGACAACCUUUUUUGAAUUGGCUGUAUUUCACAGCUACCGCAGCAACACACAUACACAAUAUAUAUACAUAUAUAUAUAUAUAUAUAUAUAUAUAUA